CUUUCCAAAUGGCACCAGCAGCUUCUAAAUAGCUUAGAUGGAGGAAGCCAUGAAGGACGUAUAUAUUUCAGAAGUCUCAGGCUGUAAGUUUGAUGGAAGAACUUUCAACACUAUCUUUUGGAAAUAUCAGUACACGGACAAAGUAUUUUCACGUGCUGUUGCUAGUGUUAGUGAGCCAGGACGUGGUCAGGAAAGUAUUUUUGGUUCCUGAAAAAGUCACACACACAGAGCAAGUGAAGGACUCUGUGACACAGCGGCCAAAACAGAGACUUUGCACGAGCACAACCAAGAAGAACGUCAUCACUGGUCACGGGGCAACAGACAACCCAAGAUUUGCCAAGUGCAUAGUGUCAAAACACUGAUGGUAAUUCCUGCUGCCUCAGACAUCUUGAUGUUUCAAUUUUAGCAGUAUGAGGAGCCUGCAGGGAAUCCAAGAGGGGGAAAAAAAAAAAAUCCACGAGGCUGCAAAGGAGAAG